GGCCCCAUCAUCUAAUGGUUAGGAUAGCGCCCUUUCACGGCGUCAAUACGAGUUCGAAUCUCGUUGGGGUCACAA
rnacentral:tRNA from 1 species